rnacentral:tRNA from 4 species
GGGCUUGUAGCUCAGUCUGGCCUAGAGCGCCAGUCUUAUAAACUGGAUGUCCCGGGUUCAAAUCAACCUUUUUCUUUCCCG